rnacentral:rRNA from 1 species
GAUGAACGCUGACAGAAUGCUUAACACAUGCAAGUCGAUGGGGAAGUGGUGCUUGCACCAUGGCAACCAUGGCGGACGGGUGAGUAACGCGUAAGGGACUUACCUGCAGGACCGGGAUAACAGGGGGAAACUCCUGACAAGACCGGAUAAUGUCAUGGAGCUGCAUGGCUUUAUGAUGAAAGGAGACGCCUGCGGAGAGCCUUGCGUCCUAUUAGCUAGUUGGUGAGGUAAUGGCUCACCAAGGCGAAGAUAGGUAGCCGGCCUGAGAGGGUGGACGGCCACAAGGGGACUGAGAUACGGCCCUUACUCCUACGGGAGGCAGCAGUGGGGAAUAUUGGACAAUGGGGGCAACCCUGAUCCAGCAAUUCUGUGUGCACGAAGAAGGUUUUCGGAUUGUAAAGUGCUUUCAGCAGGGAAGAAGUAAGUGACGGUACCUGCAGAAGAAGCGACGGCUAAAUACGUG